rnacentral:rRNA from 1 species
GAUGAACGCUGGCGGCGUGCCUAAUACAUGCCAGUCGAGCGAACGGACGAGAAGCUUGCUUCUCUGAUGUUAGCGGCGGACGGGUGAGUAACACGUGGAUAACCUACCUAUAAGACUGGGAUAACUUCGGGAAACCGUAGCUAAUACCGGAUAAUAUUUUGAACCGCAUGGUUCAAAAGUGAAAGACGGUCUUGCUGUCACUUAUAGAUGGAUCCGCACUGCAUUAGCUAGUUGGUAAGGUAACGGCUUACCAAGGCAACGAUGCAUAGCCGACCUGAGAGGGUGAUCGGCCACACUGGAACUGAGACACGGUCCAGACUCCUACGGGAGGCAGCAGUAGGGAAUCUUCCGCAAUGGGCGAAAGCCUGACGGAGCAACGCCGCGUGAGUGAUGAAGGUCUUCGGAUCGUAAAACUCUGUUAUUAGGGAAGAACAUAUGUGUAAGUAACUGUGCACAUCUUGACGGUACCUAAUCAGAAAGCCACGGCUAACUACGUG